CCUACGGGUGGCAGCAGUGGGGAAUAUUGCACAAUGGGGGAAACCCUGAUGCAGCGACGCCGCGUGGGCGAGGAAGUACCUCGGUAUGUAAAGCCCUAUCAGCAGGGAAGAAACAGGACAGUACCUGACUAAGAAGCCCCGGCUAACUACGUGCCAGCAGCCGCGGUAAGACGUAGGGGGCAAGCGUUAUCCGGAUUCACUGGGCGUAAAGGGAGCGCAGGCGGCAUGGCAAGUCUGAUGUGAAAACCCUGGGCCCAACCGCGGGAGUGCAUUGGAAACUGCCAGGCUAGAGUGUCGGAGGGGUAAGCGGAAUUCCUAGGGUAGCGGUGAAAUGCGUAGAUAUUAGGAGGAACACCAGUGGCGAAGGCGGCUUACUGGACGACUACUGACGCUGAGGCUCGAAAGCGUGGGGAGCAAACAGGAUUAGAUACCCGUGUAGUC
rnacentral:rRNA from 1 species